GGUAAAAUUGUUUAUCAGGUGAAGAUCUAUCUGCCCUGAAAUUUUCAGAUGAAUUAGACAACCUGUUUGUUGGGUUGCUGCCCCUGAAUUUGUAAUUUUAAGGAAAUUUUGCUGUUUUUGGUUAUUUUCUUGAAUAUUAUUAUAGAUAGAGAUAAACUGUAAACAGCAAUAAUGUUCAGCAAAGUAAGAUUUACAAAUAAGUCAACAUGACUGAAAUGGUCAAUUGACCCCCUAUCAAAGGAGUUGUUGUCCUUUAUAGUCAAUUUUUAACAAUUUUCAUAAAAUUUGUAAAUUUUUACUAACAUUUUCCACUGAAACUACUAGGCCAAGUUCAUUAUAGAUAGAGAUAAUUGUAAGCAGCAAGAAUGUUCAGUAAAGUAAGAUGUACAAACACAUCACCAUCACCAAAACACAAUUUUGUCAUGAAUCCAUCUGCUUUCUUUGUUUAAUAUUCACAUAGACCAAUUAAGGUGAGCGACACAGAAAAAGUGUCUGUGUAAUACAUGUUCAAAUAUGCAGCAAAUCUUGAAGAAAAUCGUUCAAUUUGUGUCAUAAAUUUUGGACGGUAAGCAAUGAUUGGAUCAUAUAAUGACACGUGACCUACAAAACCUAUACGAGC
rnacentral:lncRNA from 1 species